GAAAUGCGAUAAGUAGUGUGAAUUGCAGAAUUCAGUGAAUCAUCGAAUCUUUGAACGCACAUUGCGCCCGCCAGCACUCUGGCGGGCAUGCCUGUUCGAGCGUCAUUUCAACCCUCAGAACCCCUUGCGGGAUCUGGCGUUGGGGAUUGGCAUCCAGCCAGCCCCGAAAUCUAGUGGCGGUCCCUCCGCGACCUCCCCUGUGCAGUAGCGAUACCUCGCAGCGGGACAGCGGUCUGACCACGCCGCAAAACCCCCAACUUCUCAAGGUUGACCUCGAAUCAGGUAGGAAUACCCGCUGAACUUAAGC
rnacentral:misc_RNA from 1 species